GGGGGCGACUGGUUUCGACACGAUAGCUUUGAGAGAGGAAGCAGGCCGUGGUCUCCUCGCCACGCUAAACAGGGGUACCGUCAAAUUGAAUUGACAACAAUUCUUUCUCUGGGCAGUAUGCCCUCGCUGCUUAGUAUUUAGCGCAGCGCGUCAAACCGGGAUUGUCCCCGCUCCCGGCGCGAUGUCAUUUUAGGGGAAUGCGUUCGCACAGGUAGUCGGUAUGGUGCGGACUAAGAUUGAACCGGCUAGGAAUCUACGAGCGUGUCGCUGCGCGCAAGGACUCCGAAGGUAAAUCAGCGACUGAGCCUGGAGAUGCCGAUCAGGGGGCUUUCGUGGACCGGAGUUCGAUUCUCCGCGCCUCCACCA
rnacentral:tmRNA from 1 species